AAACCUUCGGUUUGACGAUUUAUUGUCUCGCCGGCGUUGGCGGUUUUUGGGUCCUUGUGGCUCAAUUCCGUUUAAACACUGACACGCGGGGUGUAAGGAGUUAAAGGAUUAACCCUCAUCGAUUAGUAGAAAUAUUUAUCUUUUGAGUUUUAUGACUUUAAUAACCCACCCGCUAUACAAAAAUAGGGAAUCCCUUCGGGGACACCCGACCUUGAA
rnacentral:misc_RNA from 1 species